rnacentral:rRNA from 1 species
CCCUUCGGGGUGACGAGUUAUUGACUGAGUGGCGGACGGGUGAGUAACGCGUGGGUAACCUACCUUGUACAGGGGGACAACAGUUGGAAACGACUGCUAAUACCGCAUAAGCGCACAGCAUCGCAUGAUGCAGUGUGAAAAGUUUUUUCGGUACAAGAUGGACCCGCGUCUGAUUAGCUAGUUGGUGAGGUAACGGCCCACCAAGGCGACGAUCAGUAGCCGACCUGAGAGGGUGACCGGCCACAUUGGGACUGAGACACGGCCCAAACUCCUACGGGAGGCAGCAGUGGGGAAUAUUGCACAAUGGGCGCAAGCCUGAUGCAGCGACGCCGCGUGAGCGAAGAAGUAUUUCGGUAUGUAAAGCUCUAUCAGCAGGGAAGAUAAUGACGGUACCUGACUAAGAAGCACCGGCUAAAUACGUGCCAGCAGCCGCGGUAAUACGUAUGGUGCAAGCGUUAUCCGGAUUUACUGGGUGUAAAGGGAGCGUAGGCGGUUUUACAAGUCUGAUGUGAAAGCCCGGGGCUCAACUCCGGUAUUGCAUUGGAAACUGUAGAACUAGAGUGUCGGAGGGGUAAGUGGAAUUCCUAGUGUAGCGGUGAAAUGCGUA